rnacentral:lncRNA from 1 species
CUGGGACCUGAGGAGCCCUGGGAAGCCCCUGGAAUACCAAUUCGAGUCUCAGGCCAGUGGUGGGUGAGCGUUGGGCUGGAUGACCCGGUCAGCAUCUACAGCAUGCCCGCAGGGACCGUGGUGUUCCAGGUACCCGAGACCUCCUCUGUCCUGUGCUGUGAUGUGUCCCCCAACAGCCGCCUGAUGGUCACGGGGUCCAAGGACCAUGCGUCGGUGUACCAGAUCACCUACUGACGGUGGCACGUUCGUCCUGACUCGGGGCCCUUUUGUCGUCCUUUUCCCCCAACAAGGUGGAGGGGUUUCUUUCCCAUCCCACAUGUAGUAAAGCAAUUGGAAAAAGC